UACGUAGGGCGCGAGCGUUGUCCGGAAUUAUUGGGCGUAAAGAGCUCGUAGGCGGCCUGUUGCGUCCGCUGUGAAAUCCCAGGGCUCAACCCUGGGCGUGCAGUGGAUACGGGCAGGCUGGAGGCAGGCAGGGGAGAACGGAAUUCCCGGUGUAGCGGUGAAAUGCGCGGAUAUCGGGAAGAACACCCGUGGCGAAGGCGGCUCUCUGGGACGGUACUGACGCUGAGACGCGAAAGCGUGGGGAGCGAACAGG
rnacentral:rRNA from 1 species